GAUGAAGAACGUAGCGAAAUGCGAUACUUGGUGUGAAUUGCAGAAUCCCGUGAACCAUCGAGUCUUUGAACGCAAGUUGCGCCCGAAGCCAUCAGGUUGAGGGCACGUCUGCCUGGGCGUCACAUAUCGUUGCCCAAUGCCUAUUGCAGUGCAAUAGGAAUUUCUAGGGCGAAUGAUGGCUUCCCGUGAGCGUUGUUGCUUCGCGGUUGGUUGAAAAUCGAGUCCUUGGUAGGGUGUGCCAUGGUAGAUGGUGGUCGAGUUAGAACGAUACCGAUCAUGUGCAUGCUCCCCAAAAUAUGGCCUCUAUGACCCACACGCGUCUUUUGACGCUCAUGACGAGACCUCAGGUCAGGCGGGGCUACCCGCUGAAUUUAAGCAUAUCAAUAAGCGGAGGA
rnacentral:misc_RNA from 1 species